rnacentral:rRNA from 1 species
UACGUAGGGGGCAAGCGUUAUCCGGAUUUACUGGGUGUAAAGGGAGCGUAGACGGCAAUACAAGUCGGAAGUGAAAUACCCGGGCUCAACCUGGGAACUGCUUUGGAAACUGUAUGGCUGGAGUGCUGGAGAGGUAAGCGGAAUUCCUAGUGUAGCGGUGAAAUGCAUAGAUAUCACGCAGAACUCCGAUUGCGAAGGCAGCAUACCGGCGCCCGACUGACGCUCAGGCACGAAAGCGUGGGUAUCGAACAGG